rfam:Parcubacteria bacterium GW2011_GWA2_38_13 TS74_C0006, whole genome shotgun sequence.
UUUUUUGAGAGUUUGAUCCUGGCUCAGGAUGAACGCUGGCGGCGUGUCUAAGGCAUGCAAGUCGAACGAUCUCUUUUAGCAAUAUUAGAGGGAGUGGCAAACGGGUGAGUAACACAUUGGUAACCUGCCUCGAGGUUCGGAACAACUUGGCGAAAGCCGAGCUAAUUCCGGAUGUGAUCGCUUUGCGUAAGCAGAGUGAGGAAAGGCGCAAGUCGCCUCGAGAGGGACCUAUGGCUUAUCAGCUAGUUGGUAGGGUAACGGCCUACCAAGGCUAUGACGAGUAGCGGGUGUGAGAGCAUGACCCGCCUCACGGGGACUGAGACACUGCCCCGACUCCUACGGGAGGCUGCAGUCAAGAAUAUUCCACAAUGGGCGAAAGCCUGAUGGAGCGACGCCGCGUGAUGGAUGAAGCCCUUCGGGGUGUAAACAUCUUUUCUCAGGGACGAAAUUUUGACGGUACCUGAGGAAUAAGGGGCUGCUAACCUCGUGCCAGCAGCAGCGGUAAUACGAGGGCCCCGAGCGUUAUCCGGAUUUAUUGGGCGUAAAGCGUCUGUAGGUGGCCAAGUGUGUUGCGAGUCAAAUCUUCCGACUUAAUCGGGAAACUGCUCGCAAAACUAUUUGGCUUGAGGCCGGUAGAGGCAGAUGGAAUUGCUGGUGUAACGGUAAAAUGUGUUAAUAUCAGCAAGAACACCAAAUGCGAAGGCAUUCUGCUGGAACGCGCCUGACACUGAGAGACGAAAGCGUGGGGAGCGAAUGGGAUUAGAUACCCCAGUAGUCCACGCCGUAAACGAUGAUCACUAGACAUUGGCAGUAUCGACCCUGUCAGUGUCGUUUAAACAAGCUAACGCAUUAAGUGAUCCGCCUGGGAAGUACGGUCGCAAGACUAAAACUCAAAGGAAUUGACGGGAACCCGCACAAGCGGUGGAGCAUGUGGUUCAAUUCGACGAUAAGCGAGGAACCUUACCAAGGCUUGACAUCCUUAGAAGGCCUUAGAAAUAGGGCCGUGCCCGCAAGGGAGCUAAGAGACAGGUGCUGCAUGGUUGUCGUCAGCUCGUGCCGUGAGGUGUACCGUUAAGUCGGGUAACGAGCGCAACCCUUAUCUUGUGUUAAAUUAUUCACGAGAAACUGCCUGCGUAUAGCAGGAGGAAGGUGGGGAUGACGUCAAAUCAGCAUGGCUCUUACGCCUUGGGCUACACACGUGCUACAAUGGCUGGAACAAUGGGUCGCGAAGCGGUAACGCGGAGCCAAUCCCAUCAAAUCCAGCCCCAGUUCGGACUGAGGUCUGCAACCCGACCUCACGAAGCCGGAAUCGCUAGUAACCGCGUAUCAGCCUCGUCGCGGUGAAUACGUUCUCGGGUUUUGUACACACCGCCCGUCACGCCAAGGGAGCCGGUAAUACCUGAAACUUCGCGUUCGCGGAACUAGGGUAAGAUCGGUGACAGGGGCGAAGUCGUAACAAGGCAUCCGUAGCGGAAGCUGUGGAUGGAUCACCUCCUUU